rnacentral:rRNA from 1 species
GACGAACGCUGGCGGCGUGCUUAACACAUGCAAGUCGAACGAAGUGGCGAACGGGUGAGUAAUACGUGGGUAACCUGCCCUCCUUUUUGGGCUAAUCCUUGGAAACGGGGUCUAAUCCCGAAUCAAGGGGGAUGGGCUCGCGGCCUAUCAGCUUGUUGGUGGGGUGAUGGCCUACCAAGGCGGUGACGGGUAGCCGGCCUGAGAGGGUGACCGGCCACAUUAGGACUGAGAUACGGCCCAGACUCCUACGGGAGGCAGCAGUGGGGGAUAUUGAACAAUGGGCGCAAGCCAGAGGCGGCGGCGGGGCGUGGGGGAUGGGGGCUUUCGGGUUGGAAACCUAUUACGCUAUAGAGCGGGUAGGUGGUGAGAAAGCGCCGGCUAACUACGUGCCAGCAGCCGCGGUAAUAC